CAGAAGAGAAGUUCUAACAACUGACAAGAGCUGGAGUUGAGAAGCAAGGAGCAACAGCAAUGGUGAAAAGGAGCAAACAUGUGCCUUGCCCCUCAAUUUUAAAAUAUUUCCCAGGAACCACACAACACACUGCUGUUCCAGUUCACUCAAAGAUGACUACAUUCAAAAGACCAAGUACUCAUGUAACUGAAAUAAGCCACUAUUCCAGUGGAGCUAUAAUGUUACAAUCUCACCACCAAAUUCAAUAUAGGCAGUAGAACAAUGUACUGGACUCCUUUUCUGUAUUAUCUUUCUAUUGUGUGAAUAACAGUGGAACACAGGGCCUUUCCAAUGGCUCAUUCUCGCUUUGCAACCAACUUCUGCCUACUCACUCCUCUCAGUCAUAAAGUUCAUUGUUGAAAUCCUCAACUUCUGCUUACAUAGGUUGGUUGGCAUUUGGAUAAUCCCUAGCUUCAUUUUUCAAACAAACAAGGUGUUUGGUGCACAUAUGUCAAAAUCAUACAAAAUAUUUUGAAAGUUACAAAAAUGAGUAAUUUUAUUUCCUCUGAUUAUCUACAAAACAGGGAGGUAAGUGUCCAACAAAGUUUUCAGCCACUGUCAUGGAGGAAGUCUAGAAUAUCUGCCAAAUUGUGAAGAUAUACUCUUUAGCUGAAGAGGACAUCUAGGUCAUCAUGUCAACAAAAAGAUAUUAUACAAAAUCCUGGGAUGUUGAAGAAAUUCCUAAAUUAGAC
rnacentral:lncRNA from 1 species